UAUGCAGCUGCCAGCUUUUCAUCUGAGGCAGCGGCUGAAAAGCAGGAUGUACCUGGAAAUCCUGUCUGUGCACAGCAGCACACAUGAGGUUGGAGGCCGCUCACUCCGCUGCCUCGGGCUUGUGCCGUCUUGAGUUCUAAUGCCCGUGCUCAUUAGGUUGGACCAGCACAGCGUGGGCAGACACCGUGGAAUGACAGGCGUCCCUCCUGCAGCGUUCUGCCUGUCUUUAACAGGUGCUUCCAAAGCUCGUUCCCUAAGGCCAUUAAGCAGCCCUCAGGUGACAGAGACACUUUGACUAAACUGGCCCAAGAAACGUACCCUUCAUUCAUUGUUGGAACUCGAUGCCAACUUAAUUUUGCUUGUAGACCAGCACACAGCUGUGCAGAGCUGUCAAACACAGACACAGUAGAAUGACAUGUUCUCAAGCGUGCGUCUGAACUCAUCUGUAUGGAAAAUGGAAGUCAUAAGACCUCCUUUGCUGUGUUGUUUGAAAGAUCAAAUGCAAAAUAUGUGUGAUUCCUUAUACAACACUCUUGCACAGUGAUGCAUUUGUAAAGCCUAUUUAUUUUUGAUGAACUCUUAAGAAAGCCUUGAAGACAUUCUGUGUGCAUGGUGUCUGCCCUUCUGCCCAGAAAAUACACAUCUGACAUUUUAUUUUCCCCAUCUUCCAGCAAUCUCAUGGUAAAAAGUCAUUGGAAGAUCACACACCAAUAUGGCGCCCACUGCAAACCAAACACGUGAACGUAUAUAAUAAGGUUUGUCUCUUCUCUCUGUUCUGCACGUAGUAAAGCUCUGUCUUAACAUUGAAAAAUCUGGGCAAAUCUCCUGUAGAUUCCAGAAGAAAUACCAAGUCUGAGAUGAAAGCUGUUGCUCCCUGGUGCCACCCUCAAUGCCUUCUUUAUGUCAUUCUGACUUAGAACUUGCUAAUGAGUUUUCCUCUUAAUUUGUCUUUGAAAAAUUACUUUUCACGGUGGUAAAAUAGCAUACCAUAAAAUGUACCAUCUUGACCAUUUUUUAAAGUGUACAGUGGCAUUGAAUACAUUUAUAGAGUUGUGGAACCGUCAACACCAUCCAUCUUCAGAACUCUCUUCAGUUUGCAAAAUGGAAACUUUGGACUCAUUAACAAGCAACCCCCGGUUCGCUCCAGUCCCCAACCUACUGCGGGCGUUUCCCUGCACAAGCUCUCUCUCUGCCUGCUGCCAUCCAUGAAAGACAUGACGUGUUCCUCCUUGCCUUCCACCAUGAUUGUGUGCCUUGGAACUGUAAGUCCAUUAAGCCUGUCUUUCUUUUGUAAACUGCCCAGCCUGUGGUAUGUCUUUAUAAGCUGCAUGAAAACAGACUAAUACCGGGGCUCUCCGUAUUCGCCUGGUACCUGGCACUGGGGACCUUAGGGCAAGUGGAGAGUGGCCAUGGGAUGCGAGACUCCCACACAGAAUGUUGUUGGGGUGUGGAAUCUAGAUUGAUUGUUUUGCAUAUGAAAGACAUGCUCAUAGAGGAGUUGUUCAUGUUCUCCAGAAAUUGCCUAACCCUGAGAUGGUCAGUUUCUCUAGAGGCAGCAAGACCCCCUAGUGUCAAAGCAUCACAUACAGAAAUCAGGAAAUGCAAUAAUGAUAGGAACAUUCCCCUGCCAAAGGACCCUUACACAGUCUUUAGCUGCUUUCAGAGAGAUGCUUGGUGGAGGGGGAGGGGGUCCUCAGCCCUACCAAACUGUGGAAGAAUGCAGUCUUCUCAAAAUACAUGGACUUGUGCUUCUAAAGCGUAGCUCUAAUGCAUAGUGAGUCUUGCUGUAUUAGUCCGUUUGGAUGCUGCUGAUAAUGACAUACCUGGGUAUGUCUUCCAAUUCUGUAAAUCUGCCAUGACUACAAAUCCCCAUGUCUCGUUUCCUAGCUGUUUUUAAAGAAAACUAGAGCCACAAAACACACAAAGCAAUGGAAGCUGUGCUGUUCUCCUUUACUUUCAUAAAUGCCUAUUUCCACUCAGGAGAAGACGUACCUGAUAAAGAUAUACUUGGGAGACUGGGUAAUUCGUACAGAAAUAGAGGUUUAAUGGACACACAUGCCAUGUGGCUAGGGAGGCCUCACAAUCGUGGCAGAAGGCAAGGAGGAGCAAGUCACAUCUUACAUGGAUGACGGCAGGCAAAGAGAGAGCUUCUGCAGGGAAAUGCCCUCUUAUAAAACCAUCAGAUCUCAUGAGACUUAUUCACUGUCAUGAGAACAGCAUUGAAAAGACCUGCCCCCAUGAUUCAAUUACCUCCUCCCACAGGGUCCCUCCCACAACACGUGGGAAUUCAAGAUGAGAUUUGGGUGGGGACACAGCCAAACCAUAUCACUUGCUUUAUCCCUCAUUUUUGGAAACAGCUCAUCAUACACAUAUGGCUUUCCUCAUGCAGCAGAAAUGCCUGGCUUUUAAUGACUGGAUAGUAGGAAAAUGACCUACCUUGACUAUUGACUGGAUUCCUUCCUAGUUAUGUCUGGGGAGAUUUUCGUCAUUCUUGUAUCUUUUUACAACACCCUCAAAAUCUGGAAUUACUUUGGAUGUCUCCAAAUUUCUUUUCUUUUUUUAUUUUCCCCAGAGUUUCGCUCUUCUCUCCCAGGCUACAGUGCAGUGGCAUGAUCUUGGCUCACUGCAGCCUCUGCCUCCCAGGUUCAAGCAAUUCUCCUGCCUCAGCCUCCCAAGUAGCUGGGAUUACAGGCACUCACCAUCACGCCUGGCUAAUUUUUGUAUUUUUAGUAGAGACAGGGUUUCGCCAUGUUGGCCAGGCUGGUCUCAAACUCCUGACCACAGGUGAUCCAGCCACCUUGGUCUCCCAAAGUGCUGAGAUUACAGGCAUGAGCCACCGUGCCCAUCCAGAAGUGUCCAAAUUUCUUAGUGCUUCCUGAGCAAGAGGGUGUCUUCCCUAAUGUGCUUCUCACUUUUAAAGUAGUUUCUUGGAAACGUUACACUUCUGUAAAUCUGCCAUGACUACCACUCCCCGUGUCUUGUUUCCUAGCUGUUUUUAAAGAAAACUAGAGCCACAAAACACACAAAGAAAUGUAAGCUGUGCUGCUCUUUUUUUUUUUUUUUUGAGAUGGAGUCUCACUCUGUCGCCCAGGCUGGAGUGCAGUGGCUCCAUCUUGGCUCACUGCAAGCUCCGCCUCCCGGGUUCACGCCAUUCUCCUGCCUCAGCCUCCCGAGCAGCUGGGACUACAGGUGCCCGCCACCAUGCCCGGCUAAUUUUUUUGUAUUUUUAGUAGAGAUGGGGUUUCACCGUGUUAGCCAGGAUGGUCUCGAUCUCCUGACCUUGUGAUCCGCCUGCCUUGGCCUCCCAAAGUGCUGGGAUGACAGGCGUGAGCCACCGCACCCGGCCUCGUGCUGCUCUUUUUGGCACUCAUAAAUGCCUCAGGCAGAACACUCAGAGAUACCAAAUCCCAGUUCAGUGAAUGUUUCUGGUUGUUAAACACAAUGUCUCUGAUCUAGUAUAGCAACUUUGUUCCAUGGAGAAGAAAACAGAGUUCACAUUUCUGAGCUUCCUGCCUAGGCUGCCUGGCAGGAAUGAGUUGGUCAGCUCUGAGGGUAAUUUCCUGUGCUAAGUAGGGUGGGCUGAAUAAUGAGCCCUAAAGAUAUCAAAGUCUUAAUCCUUAGAGCCUACUAAUCUCUGACCUCACAGGACAACAUGCACUUUGCAGGUGUGGUUAAAUUAAGAAUCCUGACAUGGAGGGAUUACACUGGAUUAUCCAGGGGGACUCCAUAGAAUCAAAAUCGUCCCUUUUUUUUUUUUUUUUAUUGAGACAGAGUCUUGCUCUGUCUCCCAGGCUGGAGUGCGAUGGCACGAUCUCGGCUCACUGCAAACUCCACCUCCCAGGUUAAAGCCAUUCUCCUGCCUCAGCCUCCCUAGUAGCUGGCAUUACAGGCACCUGCCAUCAUGCCUGGGUGAUUUUUGUGUUUUUGUGGAGAUGAGGUUUUACCAUGUUGGCAAGGCUGGUCUUGAACUCCUGACCUCAGGGGAUCUGCCCACCUCAGCCUCCCAAAGUGCUGGGACUACAGGCAUGAGCCACCAUGCCUGGCCUCAAGGGGUCUUCAUAAGAGGAAAGGAGAAGGAGUUUUCACACAGAAGAGGAAAAGAUCAAUGUGAAGAUGGAGACAGAGACGGGAGUGAUGUGGCCACAAGCCCAGGGAUGCCUGGAGCCCCCGGGAGCUGGGAGAGGCAGGGAGGAUCCUCCCGUAGAGCAUCCAGAAGCAACUGGAUAUAAUAGUAAUGCAUUGAGCAGUGGCCCCCAAAAUAUAUGUCCAUGUCCUGACUCCCAGGACCUGUGAAUGCAACCUAAUGUGGAAAUACAAUCUUUGCAGAUGUAAUUAAGUAAAGGAUUUUGAGAUGAGAUCAUCCCAGAUUAAGGUGGGUCCUAUAUCUCAUGACAGGUGUCUUUCUAAAAGACAGAAGAGGAGACAUAGACACAAAGUAGAAGGCCAUGUACUGAGGCAGAGACUGGAGUGAUGUAGCCACAAGCCAAGGGAUGCCUGGAGCCCCCAGGAGCAGUGAGAGGCAGGAAGGAUCCUCCCCUAGAGCCCCCAGACGGAACCAAACACAACUGCAGUGGAUUGAAUGGUGAUCCCCAAAAGAUCUGUCCAUGUCCUAACCCCUAGAACCUGUGAAUAGGACCUCGUUUGGAAAUAGCGUCUUUGCAGAUGUGAUCAAAUUGAGGAUGUUGAGAUGAGAUUAUCCUGGAUUGGGUGGGCCCUAAAUGCAAUGACAGGUGUCCUCCUAAGAGACAGAAGAGGAGAGACAGACACACAGGAGAAGGCCACGUGGAGACGGAGGCAGAGACUGGAGUGAUGUGGCCACAAGCCCAGGGACACCUGGAGGCCCCAGGAGCUGGGAGAGGCAGGAAGGACCCUCCCCUAGAGCCUCUGGAGGGAGCACACAGCCCUGCCCAUGCCUUGAUCUCACGCUUCUGGUCGCCAAGACUUGGAGAGAGUACAUUGCUGCUGUUUAAAGCCACAGAACUUGUAAUCAUUUGUUAAAGUGGACUCAAGAAACAACUACAAUGGCUUCCCACUGGGGUUGAUGUCACCAACAGGCACAGAAGUUGAGCAGCAUGAGAGACUGGUCAAGACAAACCAGAGCCUUGGGGAAGGGAGUGUAGGUGGUGAGUCAGCGUAGGGAGGACAGGCUGUGAAUGUUCCAGCACAGACAUUGCCUCUGCCCAACGUGCCGAGGUGGCCUCUUUACAUCCUCCCUCUCUGAGGUUUAGGGUUCUUACCAACUCUAGCCCACUAAUAACUCCCAUCACUUGAGUGAAUUGUUCGGGGGAAUAAUCUGCUUUUUCUUUUCUUUUCUUUUUUCUUU